AUCCUGCCCAAAAAGCAACACUAGAGAACUUGUCAAGAUGUACUUAACGGGUGAUGCGUGGAGUGCAAGCUCUACAAAUCACUUGCUCGGCGGUCGUUUGGCCGUCGGGGUCGAACAAGAAUCCCGGCGCCUUUAAGGCGCCAAGGAAAUACAAAGGAUAUGGCGAAUACCCCCCGUCGCACGUUUAGGCGUGGGAUGGACGGGCGAUUACGCGAUUCCAACAUUUUAACGACUCUCGGCAACGGAUAUCUCGGCUCUCGCAUCGAUGAAGAACGUAGUAAUAUGCGAUACUUGGUGUGAAUUGCAGAAUCCCGUGAAUCAUCGAGUUUUUGAACGCAAGUUGCGCCUUAAGCCUUCUGGCCGAGGGCACGUCUGCCUGGGCGUCACGCAUCGCGUCGCCCCCACCCCUUUUCUCGAAAAGGAAGUGGGAGCGGAGAUUGGCCCCCCGUGUUCCUCGGAGCGUGGUCGGCCUAAAAGAGAGCCCCUGGCGGCCGACUUCACGAUCAGUGGUGGUUAAUAAACGAUCCAGCGUAAUUGAUCUUGAAGUUGCGUCGUCUCGUGGGAUGUCGGAACCCUCGGGCAUUUUAAUGCUCAACCUGCGACC
rnacentral:rRNA from 1 species